GCCAGCUUCACAGACGGAGAAGCAAAAGAUUAUUCCUGAGACUUGGCCCAGCUCUGCUGGAGAUGGACCAAGAGAUGACAACUGAUGUGCUUCAGAAUAGCCCAUAGUGAUCAAGUCCCUGGUCCCCAUCAGUCAGAGGCCUGAAGCCAGUGCCAGCAUUGCAACGAAGACCUGGCAUCAUGGAGCCCACAGGCCCAGGUGGCAGCACUCGGCUGGACCUGAGGAGUGGCUGCCAGUCUUCCAGGGGGCGGAUGUGCACCAGUCAGCCAUGUCGCACCUCGGCCUGCCUCAUUGUCCUCCCUGGCCCCCAUAGGAAUUGGAGCCUGUGGUCCAGAUCCAGCCCAUUCCAAAUGCACCUCAUCCCGUUCACCCCCAAACCCACCAGGCUUCUCUCAUCUGUUCCUUAAGCAUGCCAAGUUCUCUGCCACCCCCAGGGCCUUUGCACAUGCGCCGCUGCCUGGACUGCUCGCUCCCUGAAGCCUUCUAUGGCUUAGAUAGGUUUCUGCUUAAAUAUCAUCUCCUUCGCACGACUCUCUGACACUCUGUUCUUUUCUUCUUUCCCUUCGUUGUUUCUUUAUCUUUUCGUCUUCUUUACUCCUUCCUUCUUUCUCUUCCCCCUUUUCCUCUCUCCUUCUUCCCUCUCUCCCUCCUUCCCUCCUUCCUAUUGUUUUCUCCACAGCAUCAUUAUCAGAGGCACUGAAAGUGUAUGUUUCCAUUCGUGUUAGCCCACUAAGGAAACAACUAUCCCCGUCUGCCCACUCACAUUUGUCUUUUCUGACUAAUAAAACCAAAAAUUCCA